ensembl:rRNA 5S_rRNA 5S ribosomal RNA
GUCUAUGGCCAUGCCACCCUGAACGUGCCAGAUCUCAUCUGAUCUCACAGGCUAAGCAGGGUCGAGCCUGGUUAGUACUUGGAUGGGAGACCACCUAGGAAGACCAGGCGAUAUAGGCA